UUUGGGAGGGAGGAUUUAGUAGAGUGUAUGUAGUUAGACAUAAUAGCAUUCUUCUUGUCGGUCAAGGUCAGGUUGUUCCUGCACCUGGAAGAGGCGGAGUAGAGGUCAAC